ACAGGCUUGCAAGGGCUGAGGUCACCUCCAGCAACAGCACCUCUGCCACAAGCUCACAGUCACAGACAUCAGUGAUUACACACCCUCAAUAUGAUUCAUGUGCUGGGGGAGCCAUAAGACCUCCUCCCUCUCUGCAUGUCUGGAUGUGCCAGUGUCAUGCUAAACCACUGGAGUGAUCAAAUGGAGCAGGACGAACUCACAAUGGAUAUCAAGUAUGGAGCUCAUAACAAGUGUAUGGAAGCCUCUCCCCAGCAUGAAAAAAAUAGCCUUUAGAGCACUCCAGUGAGAUAUGGGAGUGUUUAUAAGAUGCUACAAAACCCCAAGGAAACAUACUAAACCCAUGUAAUCUGGAGCAAAAGCAUUUUGGCAGGAACAUUGGUGUGGACAGGUGCAGUGCAAUGGACGUAGAGGGAGAAGUACCAAGAAGAUGUUUCUACAGUGGGAGUGUGAAUUUGCCUGUCAGCAAAAGCCUUCAUAUUAACUGCAUUUUCCUGGAGAACCAGAUACAUGUUUUGGUAAACCUAGCAAAGGAAUGCAAACUUAUUGAUAAGGACGGAUGGACAUCUCGCGAGAGGGACAAC